rnacentral:rRNA from 1 species
CCUACGGGUGGCAGCAGUCGAGAAUUAUUCACAAUGGGGGAAACCCUGAUGGUGCGACGCCGCGUGGGGGAAUGAAGGUCUUCGGAUUGUAACCCCCUGUCAUGUGGGAGCACGUUAAAUAGAUAGUACCACAAGAGGAAGAGACGGCUAACUCAGUGCCAGCAGCCGCGGUAAUACAGAGGUCUCAAGCGAUGAUCGGAAUCACUGGGCGUAAAGCGUGCGUAGGCUGUUUCGUAAGUCGUGUGUGAAAGGCACGGGCUCAACGCGCGAACGGCACAUGAUACUGGGAGACUAGAGUGAGGGAGAGGGAACCGGAAUUCCCGGUGUAGCAGUGAAAUCCGUAGAUAUCGGGAGGAACACUCGUGGCGAAGGCGAGUACCUGGACAAUAACUGACGCUGAGGAACGAAGGCCAGGGGAGCAAAAGGGAUUAGAUACCCGGGUAGUC